AGGACGAACGCUGGCGGCGUGCUUAACACAUGCAAGUCGAGCGGAAAGGCCCUUCGGGGUACUCGAGCGGCGAACGGGUGAGUAACACGUGGGCAACCUGCCCUUAGCUCUGGGAUAGCUCCGGGAAACCGGAAUUAAUACCGGAUAUGACCUAGGCCGACAUCGGCCGUGGUGGAAAGUUUUUCGGCUAGGGAUGGACUCGCGGCCUAUCAGCUAGUUGGUGGGGUAAUGGCCUACCAAGGCGACGACGGGUAGCCGGCCUGAGAGGGCGACCGGCCACACUGGGACUGAGACACGGCCCAGACUCCUACGGGAGGCAGCAGUGGGGAAUCUUGCGCAAUGGGCGAAAGCCUGACGCAGCGACGCCGCGUGGGGGAUGAAGGCCUUCGGGUUGUAACCCCUUUCAGCAGGGACGAAGCGAAGUGACGGUACCUGCAGAAGAAGCGCCGGCUAACUACGCGCCAGCAGCCGC
rnacentral:rRNA from 1 species